rnacentral:rRNA from 1 species
GACAUAGGUGGCGACCGUUAUCCGGAAUUAUUGGGCGUAAAGAGCUCGUAGGCGGUCUGUCGCGUCUGGUGUGAAAUCCCGAGGCUCAACCUCGGGCUUGCAUCGGGUACGGGCGGACUAGAGUGCUGUAGGGGAGACUGGAAUUCCUGGUGUAGCGGUGGAAUGCGCAGAUAUCAGGAGGAACACCGGUGGCGAAGGCGGGUCUCUGGGCCGAUACUGACGCUGAGGAGCGAAAGCGUGGGGAGCGAACAGG